ACCUGUAGAAGCAAGAACCAAAUCAGAGGGUAAACUAGACAAGCUAGCGGAGUUGGAGGCCACCGGAAGUUCUCUCAUCCGAGACGGAGAGACUCUGAGAGAAGACGCGCAGGAUGUCUCUGGUGGACUAUGCUUCCUCUUCGGAGGACGAAGCUCCCGAUUUCGUUGAAGAGCCCCAACUUCCUCAGGACAAGCCACCAGCACAGGCCUCAGCCUCGACAUCGGAACCUCCACCUCCUCGGACGCAGAGUAACGUUGUUACAGAAGACAUAAGCAAGCUAUUUGUCGAGAAGCCCAGCAAGCCUUCAUCAGCUCACUAAAGAUCACAUAAUGAUGAGUGACUAACUUUCGGGUCAGCUACACACGUGGUACUGUUAACUUUGGAAGGGCUUGUUAAUCUGUAUUUCGUACUCUGGUUCAUGGGCUACUUUGUGGUUAUUUACACCCUUGGGCUUUUCUGAACCUUUGUAGGAGAAGAAAUUGAUCUAUAAUGUGUAUGAAACUAGUGGGAGGAACAUGUAUUUUUUUCAGUGAGAUGGAUAUGAAUUUUGUGCGGGUUUCGUCUUUUAA